GACGAACGCUGGCGGCGUGCCUAAUACAUGCAAGUUGAGCGAUGAAGAUUGGUGCUUGCACCAAUUUGAAGAGCAGCGAACGGGUGAGUAACGCGUGGGGAAUCUGCCUUUGAGCGGGGGACAACAUUUGGAAACGAAUGCUAAUACCGCAUAACAACUUUAAACAUAAGUUUUAAGUUUGAAAGAUGCAAUUGCAUCACUCAAAGAUGAUCCCGCGUUGUAUUAGCUAGUUGGUGAGGUAAAGGCUCACCAAGGCGAUGAUACAUAGCCGACCUGAGAGGGUGAUCGGCCACAUUGGGACUGAGACACGGCCCAAACUCCUACGGGAGGCAGCAGUAGGGAAUCUUCGGCAAUGGACGAAAGUCUGACUGAGCAACGCCGCGUGAGUGAAGAAGGUUUUCGGAUCGUAAAACUCUGUUGGUAGAGAAGAACGUUGGUGAGAGUGGAAAGCUCAUCAAGUGACGGUAACUACCCAGAAAGGGACGGCUAACUACGUG
rnacentral:rRNA from 1 species